AACCAAUCAGUUCCUGUAGAAACCUCGCCAGGUGUACAGAGCUCUAGGCAAAGCAAUGACAUCAAUGACGCAAAUGACCAAGUUGAUGCCGAUUCAGAGGGUCAUACAAUUGAAGGAGAACCAGUUGGUGACUUUGUUCCUGCGCCCCGAAAGGAAGUCCGCAAGAAAACCAUAGGGCUUGGCUUAGAGAAGAUGAUAAAGAGAGGAAACAAGCUGCCUAUCCAAGUGGCUGAAGGGAAGAAAAGACCUGAUGUCCCACUUCAAGCAGCGAAGCUGGCAUCAGAAACUGGUGUAGCUCUUAGAGACAAGCUGCCUAUCUACACAUCUUGGAAGCUUUAUGAAAAAGAUGGGGGGCCAGUAGAAGUACAAAAAGUGCUUGAUAAAGUGGCGAAUAGGUUGGAUGUGGAUGUUAAGAAUGAUGGACCAAGCAAAUCUG